AUUGAACGCUGGCGGCAGGCCUAACACAUGCAAGUCGAGCGGAUGAAGGGAGCUUGCUCCUGGAUUCAGCGGCGGACGGGCGAGUAAUGCCUAGGAAUCUGCCUGGCAGUGGGGGAUAACGUCCGGACACGGGCGCUAAUACCGCAUACGUCCUGAGGGAGAAAGUGGGGGAUCUUCGGACCUCACGCUAUCAGAUGAGCCUAGGUCGGAUUAGCUAGUUGGUGGGGUAAAGGCCUACCAAGGCGACGAUCCGUAACUGGUCUGAGAGGAUGAUCAGUCACACUGGAACUGAGACACGGUCCAGACUCCUACGGGAGGCAGCAGUGGGGAAUAUUGGACAAUGGGCGAAAGCCUGAUCCAGCCAUGCCGCGUGUGUGAAGAAGGUCUUCGGAUUGUAAAGCACUUUUAGUUGGGAGGAAGAGCAGUAAGUUAAUACCUUGCUGUUUUGACGUUACCAACAGAAUAAGCACCGGCUAACUUCGUG
rnacentral:rRNA from 1 species